GUCGGGAGGGCGGCAGCGAUACAAGACCCUUUGGGGAAAGCUGCCCGCCGUCUUUGUCCGGUUUCUUAGCCUCCCGACACCCACAG
rnacentral:ncRNA from 15 species